rnacentral:rRNA from 1 species
UACGAAGGGGGCUAGCGUUGUUCGGAGUUACUGGGCGUAAAGGGUGCGUAGGCGGCUUUUUAAGUCUGGUGUGAAAUCUCCCGGCUCAACUGGGAGGGUGCGCCGGAUACUGAGGGGCUAGAGUGUGGGAGAGGAAAGUGGAAUUCCUGGUGUAGCGGUGAAAUGCGUAGAUAUCAGGAGGAAUACCGAUGGCGAAGGCAGGUCUCUGGGCUGACACUGACGCUCAUGCACGAAAGCGUGGGGAGCAAACAGG